UACAGAGGGGGCAAGCGUUGCUCGGAAUUACUGGGCGUAAAGGGCUCGUAGGCGGCCAACUAAGUCCGACGUGAAAUCCCAAGGCUUAACCUUGGAACUGCGUCGGAUACUGGAUGGCUUGAAUUCGGGAGAGGGAUGCAGAAUUCCAGGUGUAGCGGUGAAAUGCGUAGAUAUCUGGAGGAAUACCGGUGGCGAAGGCGGCAUCCUGGACCGACAUUGACGCUGAGGAGCGAAAGCUAGGGGAGCAAACGGG
rnacentral:rRNA from 1 species